CACGGGGGUUGCGAGCGUUGUCCGGAAUUACUAGGCGUAAAGGGCAGGCAGGCGGAUCCAUAAGUUUAUCGUUUAAGGCGUCGGCUUAACCGGCGUAGGGCGGUAGAUACUGUGGAUCUGGAAUGCGGUUGGGGAAGACAGAAUUCCUGGUGUAGCGGUGGAAUGCGCAGAGAUCAGGAGGAAUACCGAAGGCGAAGGCAGUCUUCCAAGCCGUUAUUGACGCUCAACUGGGAAGGUGUGGGUAUCAAACAGGAUUAGAUACCCUGGUAGUCCCUGAG
rnacentral:rRNA from 1 species